rnacentral:ncRNA from 2 species
AAAUAUAUAGGUGAUGGAGUUCACCUUUAACUAUUGCAAUUUUGCAAUUAAUGACUCCUACUUGGAC